GCGCCACCCGAGAGCACACCACCCUUUUUAGGCGGUCCUUUGCCAGGAGGGUACGUGCCACUCUCGCCAUCUCUCCACUCCCAGUGCGCGAUUGUCUUUUCAUGUAUGGAAUAGCCGGGUUCAAGCUUACCCUGUCCCAUUUCCAGGGCAUGUGGCUAGUUAAGAUAGUCCUUGAUCAACAGGCCUACAUACGCAUCCAAUCCUUAACUAACCUGGGUAGAACAUCACCUGUUCCUAGCCCAAGUCCCGAUUUAAGUACUUCCAUCCUUAGGAUUGUUUAUGUUCCUAGGAUGAAAAGAGCAUCAAAGGGAACUUUGCAGUAAGAUCCCACCACGCUCUCAAUGAAAAUAUUCUUGCAGGUAGAAGCCAUCUUUCCUCAGGAUAACCCCUGAGCUAGGCCUUAAUGCAAAAGACAACCUCUAUCCACAAGAUCUGAGCAGGGCUAAGCAUUUUUGUAAAUCAUAUUUUGAUACUUCACCAGAAGUAUCUAUAAAGGUAUGGAUAUCAAGGAAGGCAAUGCAUCAAAGGGUUUCAAGCAACUCCUAUAAACCUAAUGCACAUUUCACUAGACUUAAAGUGUGCGAAAAUUAUUUAAAAACAUAAGGAAGGGGUUGCAUGCACCGGGGCUUGCCUGGGUAACACUAGGUUAGUGUUUGUUAGACGAUGUCCACUUGACGAUCAUCCUUGUCCUAGCACUUGAUCAGGCAGGUUCGUUCAUCAGCAUCACCAUACGGAGUAGCCCGCGCUUGGGGUCGACUUGAGUCAUCUUCCGCAUCACGUGAUUAAUUAUCGCACCUGAAUGAAAUGCAUUAUGCAUAUGAAUGCAUAUAGACAGGAAUAUUAAAAUCCCUAAAUAGUGCUACGCGAUGGCGAAUUUAAACACCUAGUGGCGAUGCGUUGUACAAUUUUGUACGGAAUCAGUAGUUAUUAAUAUAUGAUUAAGUGUAAUAAUUAAGCUUCUCUAGAUUAACCGAAUCUAACGCAAACAUCACGAAACAACAAACAAUACAUAUUUAAUAUAAUUAGCCUAAACAUAACUUAUCAGUUAAUUAAUUAGAACACUAAACCUAUCCUACUUAUCACCUACACAUCUCAUAUAUAUAUAUAUAUAUAUAUAUAUAUAUAUAUAUAUAUAUAUAUAUAUAUAUAUAUAUAUAUAUAUAUAUAUAUGUAUAUAUAUAUAUAUAACCAAUAAGCAUUUUAAUAAAUAAUUAAUACAACCACAACGCACGGUUACUACCGUCCAGAGAACUGACGUAACUAAUAUAACUAAUUAAUUCAAGCCUUGAACUAAUAAUAAAAACUAGCGAAUCCAGUGUACUAUUACUAGUCGAUACAAAAUUCAUGAGAACGACGAUGAUUCCGGUUCAGACUAUCCAUCAAACAUUAAGCAUGCGAUGAACAAUGUCCUUCCCGUCAUCGCCCAACAGCUAGAAUUCUACUUCUAUCAUCGACCCCAUAACAUCACACAACUUAACAACAUAAUAACAGGUCGAGCCAUAAUUACCCAGCGCACACCUCGCAUUACUGGUAUUUCUAACUUAAUCGUAUACGUAUACAAAGCAUCUUAUUUUACGAUCAUAAAACCGAGAGUAAAAAUAGCGAAUCGGCUCACCACAUCACAACUCGAUUUGGUAGUUGCCUGAGCCACGACGGUCUUCAGCUUGACGACAAGAUCGAAUAGAGAAUGGUGAGCGUGAGGAUUUCAUAGCGAGGAUGAGCGACAUCUUGGAUUCUUGGUCCGACAUUUAAUCGAACACAUCAGAAGCGAGGUACAGCAGGAAUGGCAGUGAGGCUUGACGGCGAACGUCAUGACGACGAACGACGAGGUCGACGACGCGAUUAGAGAUUAAAGCCGAGCGAGCCGAGAGGGCGCACUGGCGAGCAGGAAACAAGACGCGACAACAUGAGGCCUGACCCGGCGAACAGCGACGCGGAGAACAAAGUGAGGUCACGGGCCGGGCGAACUUUAUUGCGCGGACUGCUUUGCAGUCAGGACGGCUAAGAGAGUUUCGCGCGCGGCCAACAGAUAGCUUGCGCGCAGGGACAGAGGACAGGAAGGGCACGGGCCGGGCUCGGCCAUCGGCGCGGCAAUCCGAAGCUUCGGCCAGCAGGACACCGAGCAGAAGUUCGACGCACACAGGGAGAUGGACGCCGAGAGCUUGAAGCAGACUGGAGCACCACUACGCGCAGGGGAGAGCCACGGCUUGGAGACGCGCCGCGAUGGAGAGCUUCCUGGGCGCGUGGCCAGAGAGGAAAUUCGAGCUGGGAAGAUGCCGGGGCUGGGCAGAGGAUGGGCUCGAGCUAGAGGCGAGCUCGGUCGGGACCUGGGCACCGGGCGCGCGAGAUCCAGCGAGCGCAGGGGCGCGGCACAGGGAGCCGGGCGAGCAGGGAGCUUCGCGCGGCCCACGAUGAAGGAGAAGGGGCGCGCGGGGAUGGGGCAGAGGGAAGCUCGACGGCGGCCGAGCGAAGGGGCGAGCGCAGGGAUAGACUCGGCGGGGAAGCAAGGAGAUGGGCUUCGAGCUGAGCAGAGCGCGGCGAAGGGCUGCAGCGCUGGGGCUCGACUGGAAGAAGAGCGCUCGGCUGGCCGGAGAUGAGAGCGAGUGCGUGCAAGCAGGGAGAGAGAGACACGCGGGGAGGAGUAGGCGCUGGGAGAGAGAACGCGGCAUGAGCAGAGAGGGAGGAGAUAAGGCCGCGUCAGGGGAGAACGGCGGCGGAAUCUUCACCGGCGGUGAGCGGCGGCCAAAAAAUAUCACGCAGUCAGGUACGGUGGCUGGGGAGAGGAUGAGAACGACUGAGACACAGGAAAAUCUUGCGCCGGCUGAACGGAUAGGGACGAGCGGCUGGGAGAUUUUUUUGAAGCAGAGCGCGCGCUGGGAAUUGCAGCUUGCCGGGGAGCAGAACACAGAGGAAGAUACCGUGAGGAGAUAAGGCCUCCAGGCUUCCAUCGGCGGCGUAAAAAAAUUCAGAUGGAAAGAUAAAAACGUGAGAGCGCACGGCGGAUAGGAAGAAGAAAUGGAUAUUUGCAGAUUUCUCUCUUUUUUUAAUUAUUUCUUUAGCCGAAAAAUCAUAGAUAUUUAGGGUUCUAGUAUUUGAAUUUGAGAGAUUUAAAAGGUUGAACCAAAACAAGUUCGAUAGAAUAUUUGAGAAAGAUUUGAUUUAAUGACUAGUCUGGAGUCAGAUGAAUUCGUAUCUGUUAAUUCACUUUUGAGAUUUAAAUCGAGGCGAGAAACAAAUGGACCGAACCAAUAUAAUUUUGGCUUCGACAAAUUUAGACUGCAUUUGAUUCAGUUGACUUCAGACGAUUUCCGUUCGCUACUCGAACACUCGACUAGAGGACAAUUUAAUUAAAAAUCCGUAGACGCGAUGUCACGGAUGACAAAAAGGUGAUUAAAUUAUUUUACAUUGAAAGCUUAAUCGUCGAGUUCUAUUUAAUUGGCUCGGGAUAAAAUUAUCCGAGUGAGUUCGGGCUUCCGAAUUCGUGUUCACGUGAGCGAUGAAUUUUAAAUACUCACCGGACGCACCGAUUUUCGGAACACGACGUUCCGAACAUCACGAAAAUUUCGGAAGAGCCCGGAUAGAUAAAAAUAAAAAUGAUGUCGCACUCGCGACAAACGGAACAGAUGCGAUAUUAAAAUCGCAAUAGGCGAAGAUGUUUAUAAUUUUGGCAUCCGUUUUAUCCACCGAUUACGUGCUUACACCCGUACUCGCUGUCGAGCGGAAUAUAAACACAUGGGGUGUUACAGCCCUCCCCCUUAAAAGAAUCUCGUCCCGAGAUUCGGAGCGAAAGACUUUUAAGAGUAGAUAAGCAUGUAACCCACGUCCACAUCAGCGGUAAUCAUAAGGCAGUCCUGAGCAAAGAUGAGUGUCUCAGGAUGUGGUUUCUCUAGCGGACAUAACAUGUAUCGCCUUAGGCUAAUUUAGAAAUGCCCACCAAUAGAGACGCUGUCCGCCAGAAGAACACAUAAGGUUCCAUGUGUGCAGUUUGCUUUUUCUGAUGACACUGGACUAUCCAAGUCUAUUGGGCGAGCGGUAAAUACGCGAUUUUACCCAAACAGAAUCAGAUGCAACCUCUUGGGUAAAACACACAAAAGAAGUUUACCAACAAGUGGUCACAGUAAGUUCAUAGCACAUGAGACGGGUGUGGAUGUCGAAUACUGUCAUAGUUAACAUAUGGCUAACCAGAGAAUUCAAGUCCACAAAAGACGAUAAAGAUUCGAGAAAAUAUCAAUGAAGAGAUCCAUUGAUGUUGACUUCGCGACCAACCCAUUUCAUCAAAUACUAACCAUGGCUCGACUUAAUCACACAUGCUGGAAAAGCACACGUGAGGUGAUCGAGGCACGACUAGAGCGAUGAUUAUGUGGUUAUUGGCCGACUUAAUCUUGAUUCUUAUAAGUACCUUCUUAGGAUGGGUUGAACCAAAGUGAGUUUAGACAACUCAACAAAACGAUCUCUAAACUCAACCUUUGUCCCCAAUGCAGUUACAAGUUAGUAAAACCAACUUGUUGAACUACUUUUGACAUUGAGCAUGUCCUCUCAAUACCAUCGGUAAGCCAAGGGUCGAGAGUUCACUCUGGUUAAUAAGAGAUCAUGUAUUUGAAUAGAGAUCCAUUUGGUCAUGUUGUUCAUCCGUUUCUUCGUGCGAGAUGAACGGACUUGGUUCGAGAAUACACAGAUUAAAUAAGAGAGCGCAUGAACAAACUCCUGCAUCUCAGCAUAAGGGGAAAUCCAAUCUCCAUUUUGAGAGCUAAUUAGUGGUCUCUCGACACUAAAAAGCUCCAAGACUUCACCUUUACACAAAGGAUGUAAAGGAAACUUGUAUGCGUGCAGUCACUAUCAAAGUCAAGGGAAAAAAAGAGACCACACAUGAAAGUGGUAUGCCCUUUUGAUCCAACAGAGAUGAUAGAUGUUGCUUGAUCACGACAAACAACAUAGAAAUUGUUUCAAGGAAGGAGUCCACAGAAGAUCACACAUCAGUGUAGUUCCAUAAUGGAUCAUGACUAGAGACCUCGAUACCAGCAUACGCCAAGCAGCAUAACCUUGCAUGUACAUUCACAAGGGGCUCUCAGUUUCGCAGCGGCACCAUAAGUCAUUAAUCAUGACACCAUCACCGAACUGGCACCAAUAAUGAAUCUCACGUAGAAAAAAACAGAUUGUGCUAAGAUAACACAUUGAUAUAGUCUCAUAAUGGAUUACAACUACUAACCAUGAUACCAGCGUGUGCCGAGCAGCACAACCAUGUGUGUACAUUCACAGGAGGCCCUCGGUCUCGUCGCGGCACCAUCGGUUUUAGUCAUAACACCAUUACCAGAUGUAACCAAUGAGAAAUCUCGCGCGACACCAAUGGAUUAGGCAAGAGUGACAAUAUACAAAGAGAUACUCCACUUGUUAAGAACAGUUACAAGUAGAGAACCAAAUAGAUUAUGGCCCGAUGAAAUGAACAAGGUAUGGUCAUAACCUAAGCUUGUUGAUGAAUGAGUACGAUGGGAGACUGUUAAUUCAGCCCCAAGCAUAUUUCUAUGCCCAUCGCAACAAUACAAGUCAAGAAUUAGUAUCUGAUUAGAUACGGAGGAAAAAUAAUCACAAGAUUAAGUUGGUAUGCCUUCGAUAGAUAUGAGAAAAAUCAAAGGCACCAAAUUCAAGAAAAUGACUGAAUAUGUCUUUCCUAGACUGGGUUGGUAAAGCAACAAUGUGAUCCUCCAGAAGAGGCAAAGUGGAAUAGAAACAUCAGCUUGCACCAACCAAACAAGGGAAUGGUUUUGGAAUGAGACAUGACUCGAGAUUCUUGUUUUAAGCCCGGGUACACUUUAUGUCCAACAAAGAAAUUAUCUAAGCAUUUAUUUGUAUGAGUUUGGUCAUGGAGUGAUAAUGGAAAAUUCAAAUUUGGGUCAUGGUUCACUAAAUACGAACAUGGCCUAGUUUUGGGUUUAAGCAAACAGACUACCAACCUUCUAUCGGCACAUCAAGUACAAGAGCAAACACAUAUAACACCUAAACAUAAUACCUAAGGAACGGAGGACAGCUAUUUUAUCGAAGUUCAUAAUUCAACAUUACACCACAUUAUCUACAAUCACCGGUUAUUAGAAUAAAGGCGAGAGAAGCAUUUUGGGUGUAUAGGUGACAAACAGAAUGCAACAAUCAGGAUGCAUGCUCGUCCUAUACGUCCUCACUGAUUUUGCCAACAUAAUGUGGCCAUAGCGUUCUAUAUCGGUGGCAUACUUGCGACUCUCACGGUAUUUUGCUAGUCGUCAACUACACAUACGUUUUCGAGGUUAGUGUACCUGCAGAAAUAUCUCAUCACAGCCCAUUUCCCAAUGAUGCAGUUCACACAUGACAAUUUUUCACAGUUUAUACUCCAUAUAUUUCUAUAUGGAGGCCAGCUCAUCAUUAAGCGCCGAGCCACGCAUAGGCACCGUUGCCACACUUUAACCAUAGGGCAACUCAUUAUGGUAACUCACCUUCUUACCUGAACGUAGGUGUGUCGUUACAAGUACAUUACACUUCUCAGUAGUCUCAUGUCUGUAUACCCAUACACAUCCAUGGGGUACUGAAUUCCCAGAAAAGUAAAUACUCCACAUCGCAGCCUUCAUAUAUACAUAUGUGGAACAUGUAUAUAAUCAAGCGCUUUUUAUGCUCUUCCCUAGACCGACGGUUGUUCGGUCAUGCUCUCACAUCUCACCUUACCUUGAGCGUCGAUUCAUUCAAAACUGAAUGGCCUCAAAAAUAACAAUACACAUGUAUGCAAUACCCACCCGAUUGUGGGUUAGUGGUUUUGAACUAAGCCACCUGAUAGUCCUUAACUUAGGGCUUAAUAGAGGAUGUCGCUAGCAUUAUAGUUUUUCAAAGUUGUUUUUCAAAACCAAACAAUGUGUUUAGUUGAAAAUAGGUUUUCUAAAACCAAAAUUUUUGUUUUGAAAAUACGUAUGUGACCGUAUAUACUUAAUCCUGCUCCGAUACUAGCUGUGGCAGAACCUCCCAAGUUAUUGGGCCCACAUGCACCUGUCCUUGUCUCAAAGACCUCAGACAGCUCUGCAUGUGCACUAAAUAACUUAACAGGAUCCGUCCGAUUGCCCCAAGGACAUCGGAUAAACCACUUAUAACCAGAACCGCGGGAUUAAGUUAACACAAAUCAUACACAUCAACAUCUUUGCAGCGGAAAUCUUAUUACCAAAUUUUACAAGUUACAAAAAUUUUACUUUGUAUGAUCGGAGUGAUUACAAAGGUGAUUCAAAGAAAUAACUUUAAACUGUUAUAAAUUAUUUAUAAGUUUGAAAUAUAUGCUAGCUCAAGUGACCAUCCUCAAUAAGAAGGUAAAGACGGGGUAUACUUAUAUAAGAAGGCCGAGCCCACCGGCACUUAACACCAUCACAGCAGCACAAAACUAUAACCUGAAAAACAACAGGGAAUAAAACCCUGAGUAUGGAAUUACUUAGCAAGACUUACCCGACUAAAGAAAAGACUCUCAAGGAUAUGCUGGAUUUGGGAAUCAAGGAGAGGCUUUAGCAAGAAUCAACUUAGAUACUUUUGCAGAAAUAGCUUACUAAAAGUGAAUCCUUACUUUCAAUGUUUUAACGCCAGAUUAAAUAUUAAUAGACUCUGUUUGCAUCUAGUCUAAUUUCACCAUCUCAUCCAUACAACAUCAUUUUUAUUCAUAAUGUUCACAUCCCGACUUAGGUUGUAGGUCGGAGAUCAAGUCUCCACUCUCCGGGGAUAUAACGGCAAUCCGAAUCGAUUUACUCAGCUGAGGAUCUCUAACCACACGACAUAUGUUUCUCGUAAACCUUACAUGUCUACCAUCCCCACGGAUCCUCCACUGCAUGAACAGGUCCGCGCCACCCGAGAGCACACCACCCUUUUUAGGCGGUCCUUUGCCAGGAGGGUACGUGCCACUCUCGCCAUCUCUCCACUCCCAGUGCGCGAUUGUCUUUUCAUGUAUGGAAUAGCCGGGUUCAAGCUUACCCUGUCCCAUUUCCAGGGCAUGUGGCUAGUUAAGAUAGUCCUUGAUCAAUAGGCCUACAUACGCAUCCAAUCCUUAACUAACCUGGGUAGAACAUCACCUGUUCCUAGCCCAAGUCCCGAUUUAAGUACUUCCAUCCUUAGGAUUGUUUAUGUUCCUAGGAUGAAAAGAGCAUCAAAGGGAACUUUGCAGUAAGAUCCCACCACGCUCUCAAUGAAAAUAUUCUUGCAGGUAGAAGCCAUCUUUCCUCAGGAUAACCCCUGAGCUAGGCCUUAAUGCAAAAGACAACCUCUAUCCACAAGAUCUGAGCAGGGCUAAGCAUUUUUGUAAAUCAUAUUUUGAUACUUC
rnacentral:lncRNA from 1 species